UGAGGAAUAUUGGUCAAUGGACGCAAGUCUGAACCAGCCAAGUAGCGUGCAGGAUGACGGCCCUAUGGGUUGUAAACUGCUUUUAUAUGGGGAUAAAGUGGGGAACGUGUUCUCUUUUGCAGGUACCAUAUGAAUAAGGACCGGCUAAUUCCGUGCCAGCAGCCGCGGUAAUACGGAAGGUUCGGGCGUUAUCCGGAUUUAUUGGGCGUAAAGGGUACGUAGGCGGUUUUUUAAGUCAGGUGUCAAAGCGUGGAGCUUAACUCCAUUAAGCACUUGAAACUGAAAGACUUGAGUGAAGGAGAGGAAAGUGGAAUUCCUAGUGUAGCGGUGAAAUGCGUAGAUAUUAGGAGGAAUACCGGUGGCGAAGGCGACUUUCUGGACUUUUACUGACGCUCAGGUACGAAAGCGUGGGGAGCAAACAGG
rnacentral:rRNA from 1 species